rnacentral:rRNA from 2 species
GGGCAAUCUGCCCUUCACUCUGGGACAAGCCCUGGAAACGGGGUCUAAUACCGGAUAAUACUUUCUCCCGCAUGGGAGGGGGUUGAAAGCUCCGGCGGUGAAGGAUGAGCCCGCGGCCUAUCAGCUUGUUGGUGGGGUGAUGGCCUACCAAGGCGACGACGGGUAGCCGGCCUGAGAGGGCGACCGGCCACACUGGGACUGAGACACGGCCCAGACUCCUACGGGAGGCAGCAGUGGGGAAUAUUGCACAAUGGGCGAAAGCCUGAUGCAGCGACGCCGCGUGAGGGAUGACGGCCUUCGGGUUGUAAACCUCUUUCAGCAGGGAAGAAGCGAAAGUGACGGUACCUGCAGAAGAAGCACCGGCUAACUACGUGCCAGCAGCCGCGGUAAUACGUAGGGUGCGAGCGUUGUCCGGAAUUAUUGGGCGUAAAGAGCUCGUAGGCGGCUUGUCACGUCGGUUGUGAAAGCCCGGGGCUUAACCCCGGGUCUGCAGUCGAUACGGGCAGGCUAGAGUGUGGUAGGGGAGAUCGGAAUUCCUGGUGUAGCGGUGAAAUGCGCAGAUAUCAGGAGGAACACCGGUGGCGAAGGCGGAUCUCUGGGCCAUUACUGACGCUGAGGAGCGAAA